rnacentral:lncRNA from 1 species
CAUUUUUUAUACGACCGCAAAUUUUGAAAAAAUUUUCGUCGUAUAUUGCUAUCACGUUGGCGUCGGUGUCGUCGUCGUCGUCGUCGUCGUCGUCCGGCGUCCGAAUACUUUUAGUUUUCGCACUCUAACUUUAGUAAAAGUGAAUGGAAAUCUAUGAAAUUUUAACACAAGGUUUAUGACCACAAAAGGAAGGUUGGUAUUGAUUUUGGGAGUUUUGGUCCCAACAUUUUAGGAAUUAGGGGCCAAAAAGGGCCCAAAUAAGCAUUUUCUUGGUUUUCGCACUAUAACUUUAGUUUAAGUUAAUAGAAAUCUAUGAAAUUUUGACACAAGGUUUAUGACCACAAAAGAACAGUUGGGAUUGAUUUUGGGAGUUUUGGUCUCAACAGUUUAGGAAUUAGGGGCCAAAAAAGGGCCCAAAUAAGCAUUAUUCUUGGUUUUCGCACAAUAACAUUAGUUUAAGUAAAUAGAAAUCAAUGAAAUUUAAACACAAUGUUAAUGACUACAAAAGGAAGG